UCCGGUUUGGCACCGGCAGUCCUCCCAGAGUCCCCGGCAUGAUCCGCUGGCAACUGGGAGCGGGGGUUGCGCUCGUUGCGGGACUUAACCCAACAUCUCACGACACGAGCUGACGACAGCCAUGCAGCACCUGUCCUGCGGCCCCGAAGGGGGCGCCUCCUUUCCGAGGCGUUUCCACAGGAUGUCAAGCCCGGGUAAGGUUCUGCGCGUUGCGUCGAAUUAAACCACAUGCUCCACCGCUUGUGCGGGCCCCCGUCAAUUCCUUUGAGUUUCAGCCUUGCGGCCGUACUCCCCAGGCGGGGCACUUAAUGCGUUAGCGCCGGCACCCAAGGGGUCGCUCCCCCGGGCACCUAGUGCCCAUCGUUUACGGCGUGGACUAC
rnacentral:misc_RNA from 1 species